CCCGGGCCUUGUACACACCGCCCGUCACACCAUGGGAGUUGGUUCGACCUUAAGCCGGUAAGCUAACCCGCAAGGGAGGCAGCCGUCCACGGUCGGGUCAGCGACUGGGGUG
rnacentral:rRNA from 1 species